ensembl:lncRNA
GCCCACAGCUGCAGAUAGAGAGGUGGAGAGAUAGAGAGGUGGAGAGAUAGCGAGGUGGAGAGGUGGAGAGAUAGAGAGGUGGAGAGAUAGAGAGGUGGAGAGGUGGAGAGGUGGAGAGGUGGAGAGAUAGAGAGAUGGAGAGGUGGAGAGGUGGAGAGAUAGAGAGGUGGAGAGAUAGAGAGGUGGAGAGGUGGAUAGGUGGAGAGGUGGAGAGAUGGAGAGGUGGAGAGGUGGAGAGAUGGAGAGGUGGAGAGAUAGAGAGGUGGAGAGGUGGAGAGAUGGAGAGGUGGAGAGAUAGAGAGGUGGAAAGGUGGAUAGAUGGAGAGCUGGAGAGAUAGAGAGGUGGAGAGGUGGAG